GUGCUUGCUUCAGGAGCGUAUAUACUAAAAUUGGAACGAUACAGAGAAGAUUACCAUGGCCAGUUCGCAAGAAUGACACGCAAAUUCGUGAAGCAUUCCAUAAUUUU